CGAGUCGGGUUGUUUGGGAAUGCAGCCCCAAUCGGGCGGUAAAUUCCGUCCAAGGCUAAAUACGGGCGAGAGACCGAUAGCGAACAAGUACCGCGAGGGAAAGAUGAAAAGGACUUUGAAAAGAGAGUCAAAGAGUGCUUGAAAUUGUCGGGAGGGAAGCGGAUGGGGGUCGGCGAUGCGUCCCGGUCGGAUGUGGAACGGCGACGAGCCGGUCCGCCGAUCGACUCGGGGCGUGGACCAGCACGAAUUGAGGCGGCGGCCAAAGCCCGGGCAGUCGACAUGCCCGCGGAAUGCCGUCGCCCCGAUUGUGGCGGACAGCGCGCGCCCUCGGCGUGCCUCGGCAUCUGCGCGCUCCCGGUGCUGGCCUGCGGGCUCCCCAUUCGACCCGUCUUGUAACACGGACCAAGGAGUCUGACAUG
rnacentral:rRNA from 1 species